rnacentral:rRNA from 1 species
GGGCGCAAGCCUGAUGCAGCGACGCCGCGUGAGGGAUGGAGGCCUUCGGGUUGUAAACCUCUUUUAUCGGGGAGCAAGCGUGAGUGAGUUUACCCGUUGAAUAAGCACCGGCUAACUACGUGCCAGCAGCCGCGGUAAUACGUAGGGUGCAAGCGUUAUCCGGAAUUAUUGGGCGUAAAGGGCUCGUAGGCGGUUCGUCGCGUCCGGUGUGAAAGUCCAUCGCUUAACGGUGGAUCCGCGCCGGGUACGGGCGGGCUUGAGUGCGGUAGGGGAGACUGGAAUUCCCGGUGUAACGGUGGAAUGUGUAGAUAUCGGAAAGAACACC